GGCAUUUCUUCCUCUUUGCCAAGAGAAAAGGGAGGUGAUGGAUGUGGUGUCAAAAAAGGCGUAAAUUAAAUACCUUGCAGUCUUUCCCUGCCCUUAAAUUUGGUAUCUUUGGUGUAGGGACUACAUAAGGGGCAGUC
ensembl:snoRNA